CCAGUCAAGCUUGAAAACAACACGGAUAAGCCUAGUACCAAGCGUACACUGUUGACUGUUUCCUUCUCUCCGCACAUCAGCCCCCAUUCAUUGAAGCAUUUGAGGCGACGGAGAACUAGCACACAGCUAAUUUGAACCUGUGCAUCGAGAACACCCGUAUCAUUGUGCAUGACAAAGUUCACAGUGGAUAAAGUCUUCACUCCACCAAUGGGGAAACAUCAUGGAUGUCUUGAAGGCCGAUGACCGCUUCAUGUGAGGAUCUUUACCAUCUGAAUCAUGUUUCUCUGAUGGAAAAGUACAGCAAAAACACUCCCUGUCAACUAUUGGCAGCUUUAAUGACUCUACAGUGCACCACAGAGGCACAGAGCAGCAACUGCACCAACUAGGAUCAGGGAAACAUUUUUUUUGUAGUUUUUAAAAAGUGAGUCAUCUCUUAGCCUAGAUUAUCAUGAAGCUGUAAGUUUGGUGUAGCAUAAUGACUGAAAGCAAACAGAGGUGUUAGUGUGUUGUUGUGUAGUUGCCAUUUGAUCUAACAUCAUUUAUUGCUGUUUUCAGCAUGCUGGUCAAUGCCAUCCAGAGAGCAGGUAUAACUGAGCUUCUGAACCAGCAGGUGGUGUUCACCUUCUUCGCUCUCACCAAUGAUGCUUUCAAUGCACUGCCGCAGGAUGAAGGCAACAGGCUGAUGCAUGAGUUUUAUUCAACCACACAGCUUCUCUUUAUUCACAUUCUUAAUUUAUCCACAUGGACAGUUUCCAGAGACGUGUGUAAAGCAUCUCUCUUCUUUACAGCAGUUUAUACUGAGAGGUGAACCACACAGCCUCUCAUUUGAUACCAUAUCUCCUUCACCCUCACCUCACGUCUGUUUUGACUAACAUCUCUGUAUGAAAAUGAAAUUGAAGAACAA